AGAGUUUGAUCCUGGCUCAGGAUGAACGCUGGCGGCGUGCUUAACACAUGCAAGUCGAACGAAGCACCUUGAUUUGAUUCUUCCGAUGAAGAUCUUGGGGACUGAGUGGGGGACGGGGUGAGUAACGCGUGGGUAACCUGCCUCAUACAGGGGGAUAACAGUUAGAAAUGACUGCUAAUACCGCAUAAGACCACAGCACCGCAUGGUGCAGGGGUAAAAACUCCGGUGGUAUGAGAUGGACCCGCGUCUGAUUAGGCAGUUGGUGGGGUAACGGCCUACCAAGCCGACGAUCAGUAGCCGACCUGAGAGGGUGACCGGCCACAUUGGGACUGAGACACGGCCCAAACUCCUACGGGAGGCAGCAGUGGGGAAUAUUGCACAAUGGGGGAAACCCUGAUGCAGCGACGCCGCGUGAGCGAUGAAGUAUUUCGGUAUGUAAAGCUCUAUCAGCAGGGAAGAAAAUGACGGUACCUGACUAAGAAGCACCGGCUAAAUACGUGCCAGCAGCCGCGGUAAUACGUAUGGUGCAAGCGUUAUCCGGAUUUACUGGGUGUAAAGGGAGCGUAGACGGAGUGGCAAGUCUGAUGUGAAAACCCGGGGCUCAACCCCGGGACUGCAUUGGAAACUGUCAAUCUAGAGUACCGGAGAGGUAAGCGGAAUUCCUAGUGUAGCGGUGAAAUGCGUAGAUAUUAGGAGGAACACCAGUGGCGAAGGCGGCUUACUGGACGGUAACUGACGUUGAGGCUCGAAAGCGUGGGGAGCAAACAGGAUUAGAUACCCUGGUAGUCCACGCCGUAAACGAU
rnacentral:rRNA from 1 species